rnacentral:rRNA from 1 species
UAAUACGUAGGGGGCGAGCGUUGUCCGGAAUUACUGGGCGUAAAGGGUGCGUAGGCGGCCUGAUAAGUCAGGUGUGAAAUACCAGGGCUCAACCCUGGGGGUGCACUUGAAACUGUCGGGCUUGAGUGCAGGAGAGGAAAGCGGAAUUCCUAGUGUAGCGGUGAAAUGCGUAGAUAUUAGGAGGAACACCAGUGGCGAAGGCGGCUUUCUGGACUGCAACUGACGCUGAGGCACGAAAGCGUGGGUAGCGAACAGG